UAUGCAAUUGUAAAUCUUUUUUUACUUUGUGUGGGAGAACCCAACUUGCUUACAGUCUUCUUUCUAGUAGAUAUUCCGUUCCGUUUGUGCAGGUAUUUUUAUACUUUGUGUGUUUACUCUUCAAAAUGAUGACGUGGCAAAUGUUGUGGACCCGUCUCCAAGUGCUAAACAAGAAGGUAUUCGUCCCAGAAUGUUUAAGGUCGUAACUACAGCCAGUCACCCUGAGUUUUCAACCAUGCGUCAGUAGCGAAAUAAAUGUUGUAUUUUUCUAUUCAAAUGCUGAGCAAAGAGAAGCGAUGUUUGCUGCAGAGAGCCGUGCAGUUGAUUAAAGAGUGAAAAAGUUAGCUUGUAUGAUUCAUUACAAAAGUGCGGUUCCGACGUAUUUGAUGUUUUGAUUUACAUGUUUUAAUUUGGGAUAUUUGAUGUUCGAUUUGGAUGUUUUAUUACUAGGAACAUUGGAUAUUUGUUAUGAUUUUCAAAUUUCAUAGAUGGUUACAUUGU
rnacentral:lncRNA from 1 species